AGGACUCUCUGUGUAGCCCUGGCUAUCCUGGAAUUUGUUCUGUAGACCAGGCUGGCUUCAAACUCAAGAGACCUACCUGCCACUACCUCCCAAGUGCUGGGAUCAAAGGUGUGUGCCCUCACACCUGGUUUUGUUUCUUUAAUACAACUUCAACUUGGAGCUCUGAUGAAGAAGCCCAAUCUCCCUUAAACAGGUUUCCUCUCAUUUUUCAAUUAAGGAGACAGGUGAAGGCUGAGCCUUAGUUUCCGGGUCGGCUACUGUCUGCUAGAAAACAUCCUGUGAAUGAUGCUGUGUUUGCUUCUGUUUGUCCUGACUGUCUCCUUUAUCCUCAGGUCCACACUAGAGCCUGGAGACCUGGCUGGUCCCUUCAGCCCCAGCCUCUGCAUCUCAUGAGGUUUUGUGCGUAGAAUCUGUUACAGUUUUGAAAUGAAAUGUCCUUCACGGUUCACGUGUCGAAGGCCUGGUCCUCAGCCGGUGGCUCUCCUGAGGUGACUAGACCACGGGAACUCAGACUUUGUCAAUGAAUCAAGCCAUUGACAUUUAAUGGACUAUUGGGAGGCGGCUCCUCGCUGGAGGAAGUGGGCUAUAGAACCUCCUUCUCACACUCUCUGCUUCCUGCCCACUGUGGGUGGACCGCUCCUCUCUGUACCUCAAGCGCCUGCCAUGCUGCCCUGCUCCACCUCAGUCGAGGGACUGUGGACUGAAACCUCAGAAACUGAGCUGAAAUAAAUCUUUCCCCAUUAGGAAACUGUCGUUGGGCAGUUUGCGUAGCUAGGGCCUCUUACAACUUCACAGUCUGACUGGAGUAAAGUGCCCUCCUUCUGUCACGGGAGCACUGCAUACCACGCCCCUUAGAGACACCCUGGAAUGGCUAUCUCCUAGGGAACAGAGGAGCCUCUCAACAGAUGCCAGGCAGGCCCCGGCAAGGCUCUCCAUUUUCUGUCCUUACUCUGACCUCUGGAGUAGUCCGGAUGGCAUCUAAGGGGAACAGGGCUUUAAAAAAAUGGCAUCCAGCCAUGGCCUCCAUCCUUCUCCAUCCUUUGCUAACAUCAGAACCCAGCUUCUCUGACCUUCCAAAAGGGACCCAAGACCAGCAGCUCUCCAGGAAUCACCCAGGCCUUCAGCACCAGAUUGGUACUACAAAGGUAUCUAGAUUCAUGGGCUGAGAAAGCUACCAGGCUCUCAGCCUCUUCAACAUGCAGAUGGCCACUGCUGGACUCCCCAGCCCAAUCCUGCAAGCCAAGCUAAUAAACGUUCUUUAUAAUAUAUAUUCAUUCUAUCAGUUAUUUUCCUCUAGAGAAUUCUGAUGGGUACAGUAAGGUCUCAGAGUCCCUUCAUAACCAAUCUCAAUACACACAUCCCACCUCUAUCUCUGUCUCUUUGUCUGUCUCUGUCUGUCUGUCUGUCUCCCUCUCGAUCAAAACAAAAUUUGAUUUAAAAUUACUGAUUGUGCGGAGCUGGAGAGACAGCUUAGAGGUUAAGAGUGCUUGUUGCUCUUGCAGAGGACUGGAAUUUGAUUCCCACACCUGCAUCAGACUGCUCACAACCGCCUGUAACUCCAACUCAAAGGGAUCUAAUUCCCUGUUCUGGCCUCUGCCAGUACCUGUAACCACUUAUGCAUACACACACACACACACACACACACACACACACACACACACACACACACA